rnacentral:rRNA from 1 species
GAUGAACGCUGGCGGCGUGCUUAACACAUGCAAGUCGAACGAAGCACUUUAUUUGAUUUCCUUCGGGACUGAUUAUUUUGUGACUGAGUGGCGGACGGGUGAGUAACGCGUGGGUAAUCUGCCUUGUACAGGGGGAUAACAGUUGGAAACGGCUGCUAAUACCGCAUAAGCGCACAGCAUCGCAUGAUGCAGUGUGAAAAACUCUGGUGGUAUAAGAUGGACCCGCGUUGGAUUAGCUAGUUGGUGAGGUAACGGCCCACCAAGGCGACGAUCCAUAGCCGACCUGAGAGGGUGACCGGCCACAUUGGGACUGAGACACGGCCCAAACUCCUACGGGAGGCAGCAGUGGGGAAUAUUGCACAAUGGGCGAAAGCCUGAUGCAGCGACGCCGCGUGAGCGAAGAAGUAUUUCGGUAUGUAAAGCUCUAUCAGCAGGGAAGAUAAUGACGGUACCUGACUAAGAAGCACCGGCUAAAUACGUG